rnacentral:lncRNA from 1 species
CCUCAACCUCGUACAACUGAUGAGCCUCACGAGAAUCUGAUGCAAGAAUGCAUGAAAAAGGACACAGGCCUCUCAUGGAUAUCAACCAAAUGUGACAAGCUUAAGUAAGACUAACACUUCUCCUCAUGUUCAGGUCAGAUGGGGCAAGCCACUGGGAGGGAAAGGGUCCCAAAAGCCUGCAAGAGAGCCAGAGACACACCCUGUUCACACUGCUUGGAGUUCCACAAGAAGACCAAGCUACACAACUGUAACACAGAGUUUGCAUCUGGCUGCAUUCCAGAUGUUCGUGGAGACCCAGAUCAGCAGGACAAUAUGGCUCAGUGCAGACUACAUCCUCCAUGUUUAUGAUGGCCACGUGAAUGAAUGCAUAGUCAUCCUCAUCUGCCAAUCAAGUAAAGGAAAAUGUAGAGGUGGACACUUGGAGAAGAGAGAACACUGGUGU